GACGUAGGGGGCCAGCGUUGUUCGGAAUUACUGGGCGUAAAGGGCUCGUAGGCGGCCAACUAAGUCAUACGUGAAAUCCCUCGGCUUAACCGGGGAACUGCGUCUGAUACUGGAUGGCUUGAGUUCGGGAGAGGGAUGCGGAAUUCCAGGUGUAGCGGUGAAAUGCGUAGAUAUCUGGAGGAAUACCGGUGGCGAAGGCGGCAUCCUGGACCGACAUUGACGCUGAGGAGCGAAAGCCAGGGGAGCAAACGGG
rnacentral:rRNA from 1 species